rnacentral:rRNA from 1 species
UAGGGAAUCUUCGGCAAUGGGGGGAACCCUGACCGAGCAACGCCGCGUGAGUGAAGAAGGUUUUCGGAUCGUAAAGCUCUGUUGUUAAGGAAGAACGAGUGUGAGAAUGGAAAGUUCAUACUGUGACGGUACUUAACCAGAAAGGGACGGCUAACUACGUGCCAGCAGCCGCGGUAAUACGUAGGUCCCGAGCGUUGUCCGGAUUUAUUGGGCGUAAAGCGAGCGCAGGCGGUUAGAUAAGUCUGAAGUUAAAGGCAGUGGCUCAACCAUUGUAGGCUUUGGAAACUGUUUAACUUGAGUGCAGAAGAGGAGAGUGGAAUUCCAUGUGUGACGGUGAAAUGCGUAGAUAUAUGGAGGAACACCAGUGGCGAAGGCGACUCUCUGGUAUGUAAAAGACGCUGAGGCUCGAAAGCGUGGGUAGCAAACAGG